GCCGGAGUAGCUCAGUUGGUUAGAGCAGCGGAAUCAUAAUCCGCGUGUCGGGGGUUCGAGUCCCUCCUCCGGCA
rnacentral:tRNA from 4 species